GGUCUGCUGGCUUAAUGGCAGAGCGUCUGAUUACGACUUUAAGAAGUUAUCAGGAGGUUCCAGGUUCGACCCCUAGGUAGAUCG